CAGACUGAAAUAAUCAGCUCUGGUUUACACAGAUAAUUGCCUGUUACACAAUAAGAAGGACAGCGUUUGUGACAUUGUUUGUGACACUUUGACACAUCGAGGCGCGGAUGAGCCGACAACCCACGCCGAAGACGAGGCUGUGGAGAUCAGGUCCCUGCUGCAGGGAUCCAGGUUACCAGCAACCAAUUAGCUCGUUCAGAUGAAGGGAGGCCUGCAUGCUACAGCAUACUGGGCUAAUGACACUCCGGGUACUCUCCUCUGUGUCAGAUUAAGGUGUGAACGCAGUAAUGGCACUUAGGUGCAGAUCAAAACAACCGUUUGGAGGAGGUGGACUUGGUACGGUUCCAGAUGAACUCCAGAGUGAUUCAUUUAUGGUGUGAACGUGAUCCGACCCCAAUAUGAACCAAGUUUGAGAUAAAAAAUGUCCUAUAGCAACUUUGUAACGUUCUACUUACUUUCAAAGUUUUAAAUGGAAUGGCUUCCAGUCAUUCAAGCAAACUCCUCAACAUGUAUAACCCCAAAAGAGCACUGAGAUCGUCUAGCCAGAUGCUCUUAGUACAGUCAAGGUCUCGACUGAAGCGUAGAGGAGAUCGGGCCUUUGCAGUUGUAGUGCCUAGACUCUGGAUUCAUUUGCCAUUUUUCAUGUUGGCUUUUGAUUCAGUUUGAAUAGAAUCCAGUUUGUUUUAUGUUUGUUUUGUUUUAUUUUUAUGUUGAAUAUAUUGUCAUUACCUCAUUAUC